CAGCCGCACGGGAACACAGAGGGUGCAAGCGUUAAUCGGAAUUACUGGGCGUAAAGCGCGCGUAGGUGGUUUGUUAAGUUGGAUGUGAAAGCCCCGGGCUCAACCUGGGAACUGCAUCCAAAACUGGCAAGCUAGAGUACGGUAGAGGGUGGUGGAAUUUCCUGUGUAGCGGUGAAAUGCGUAGAUAUAGGAAGGAACACCAGUGGCGAAGGCGACCACCUGGACUGAUACUGACACUGAGGUGCGAAAGCGUGGGGAGCAAACAGGAUUAGAUACCCCAGUAGUCCCUGUCUCUUAUACA
rnacentral:rRNA from 1 species